rnacentral:rRNA from 1 species
UACGUAGGGUGCGAGCGUUAAUCGGAAUUACUGGGCGUAAAGCGUGCGCAGGCGGUUCGUUAAGUUCGAUGUGAAAGCCCCGGGCUCAACCUGGGAACUGCAUUGGAAACUGGCUAGCUUGAGUAUGGCAGAGGGGGGUGGAAUUCCGCGUGUAGCAGUGAAAUGCGUAGAGAUGCGGAGGAACACCGAUGGCGAAGGCAGCCCCCUGGGCCAAUACUGACGCUCAGGCACGAAAGCGUGGGGAGCAAACAGG